GCAUGCGACAUGUAUACUUUUCCUCUAAAGAGUGAUCUGUGUCAAGUGUGCGCCAUGAACACAUAGAUCCUACGAAGGAGAAUCAUAUGAUAGCGUUACAAGGAGAAGGUGGGCAUGGUGAUGGUACGGGCUGGGUUAAGGGAGCUACAGAAAAUAUGUUGGUGAAUGGCGUCAAUCAACCAAAUCAGGAGAUGGAUGAGAAUUCCAGAAAAAGGAACGUGCUGAUUUUGAAGAAAAGAACCCUGAACCAAAAAGACCGAAAGCCACGAAAUAUCACAGCUUUCGUGUUUGGAAGUAAAAGAGGAAAACUCGGCAAAAAGGAAAAAGAUCACCAGACUGAGAAAAAGAGGUUUGAAGAGUGUCGGCGAGUGUAGGCAUAGUAAGAAGUAUCUCCGAUUCCCCACAUAUCCGAAGAUACACAUCAGAAGAAAAAAUUAUAGCUUUGUCGAUCUUUAAACAAUCCCCGAAAUGCUACAAAAUUUAUGAGGAAAUUUUUCCCUCUGCCCAGUCUAACAGUAUUACGGAAAAUGUUGCAAAACAUCCCAAUGGACGCAGGAGUCACCGAAGAAACCAAACGACGAUUGGCAGAAGCCAUACAAGGUUGCAAAACGGAGAAAGAAAAAUUUACGUUUGUCAUAUGGAUCUGUCCGGGUUGUGGAUUAUUUUAUGAUAAGGCCACUGACAAAGUAGUCGGUUUCGAGGAGUGGGGAAAUGUGAGGACCGAGAAAUAUGUGGAUCACGCUCUAGUCUUUAGGAUGCGCAUGAUCGGGUCUGGAGACAAGUUUCCUCUCACUUUUAAUUUUUGUAGUAGGCAGACUACCACAUCUCAAUUAAUAACUGGCAUGAAGGAUGUCGUACGUGCAAUCAAGGAAGCUGGUUUUACAGUUGUGGCGACAGUUUGUGAUUGUGGUUCCAGUAACCAGGCGGCUAUAAAAACCCUUUUCCAGGAUGCAAUAAGACUAAAAGGAGAGGAUUAUGUCUACAGAAGUGGUCUCUCAUCAAAACUUAUAGGAAACACCGCCUCUUUACCAAAUACUAUCAUAUAAGGGGCAAACCCAGUACCUUCAUGGACAGCUGUAUUAUAGGCAAAAACAGUAAAUCGAAGCCAUUCAUCCCAAUUGUGUGGACCAUCAAAAUGUCGUCAGUAUUCAAUUAGAGUAUGAUGACUACGCUCGAGUAAUCCAAGACUUUGAGGAAUCUUCAAUAUCAUCAUCUGAAGUGCUGGGGAACAUCGUCACGACAUCUUUACGACAUCCUAUGU